ACUAGAAAUACCAUUUGACCCAGCCAUCCCAUUACUGGGUAUAUACCCAAAGGAUUAUAAAUCAUGCUGCUAUAAAGACACAUGCACACGUAUGUUUAUUGCGGCACUAUUCACAAUAGCAAAGACUUGGAACCAACCCAAAUGUCCAACAAUGAUAGACUGGAUUAAGAAAAUGUGGCACACACACACCAUGGAAUACUAUGCAGCCAUAAAAAUUGAUGAGUUCAUGUCCUUUGUAGGGACAUGGGUGAAGCUGGAAACCAUCAUUCUCAACAAACUAUUGCAAAAGGACAAAAAACCAAACACCGCAUGUUCUCACUCAUAGGUGGGAAUUGAACAAUGAGAACACAUGGACACAGGAAGGGGAACAUCACACUCUGGGGACUGUUGUGGGGUGGGGGGAGGCGCGAGGGAUAGCAUUAGGAGAUAUACCUAAUGCUAAACGACGAGUUAAUGGGUGUAGCACACCAACAUGGCACAUGUAUACAUAUGUAACAAACCUGCAGGUUGUGCACAUGUACCCUAAAACUUAAAGUAUAAUAACAAUAAUAAUAAUAAUAGGAAUCUAAAAAAAAAAACAAUUUAAAUAAUGUCACCUAAGAUUUUUUACAAUUAGCAAGUGCUGGGGAUUCAAUCCAGGGAGUCUGACAUCCAGAGCCAAUACUUUACUACAUGAAACAGCCCUAAAAAGAGCAGAGAAUCUGUCUUCACAGAUUUUCAAAGAGUAAGGAAACAUGGUUAGGCCUAGUGGUCAGGGAAUGCUUUGUAGAUGCAGUGGGGUGUGGAAAGAGGCCAUGAAGAAGAAAGAGGAUUUGAAAGAAGAGAGAGGAAUGAAGAAAGACUUCUAAUAAAUAUGCUUGCUACGAUCAAUUCUGUGUCCUCCCUUUUCUAUAAAAUAUGAUCCUUGGCCCCUAUAAUUUCUUGACUCUAAAUGUUUGAAAGAGUGAAUCAGCAUUAUCAUGGAACAAUAUGUGCUGAUGGGUAUAGUCUCCCCCUUUGAUUGGUACUUUGCAAGUUUCACAAAUAACUAACCACCUGAGAACUUGUCUCCCUUGAACUGAAUUCCAUUUUAAUUUUGUUCACCUUCUUGAUUCUCUUCUUUUUGUGUCAAAAUUGUACUUUUGCAAAGAUGAUUUCAAAAGUGUUUUCUUUCUGAUUUAGUGCGGCCAGUUUUCAACAUUCGGUCUGAAAUUGAGGAGUUGCUGUAUGAAAAGUGAAUUUAUUUGAAUGGUAAAGUUUCCUGUGAACAGAAAUAAAGUAUUGUUUCACUCUG
rnacentral:lncRNA from 10 species